GCGCUGGUUAGCUCAGUUGGUAGAGCGCUCCACUUGUAAUGGAGAGGUCCCGGGUUCGAUACCCGUACCAGGCG
rfam:Ixodes scapularis strain Wikel colony gcontig_1108379111704, whole genome shotgun sequence.